rnacentral:misc_RNA from 1 species
GUAGGUGAACCUGCGGAAGGAUCAUUAAUGUAAACCAGGCGCGGAUUGUAAAAUCCCGCCUAUUACUGUGUGAACUCAACGACGUCUUCCCAGCUUUCUCGCGAAGGUUGGGGUAUUUAACGAAGAAAGCAAGGACACUCUAUUCUAUACAACUUUUAGCGAUGGAUCUCUUGGCUCUC